rnacentral:rRNA from 1 species
CCCUUAGAUGUUCUGGGCCGCACGCGCGCUACACUGAUGCAUUCAACGAGCCUAUCCUUGACCGACAGGUCCGGGUAAUCUUUGAAUCUGCAUCGUGACGGGGAUAGAUUAUUGCAAUUAUUAAUCUUCAACGAGGAAUGCCUAGUAGGCGCAAGUCAUCAGCUUGCGUCGAUUACGUCCCUGCCCUUUGUACACACCGCCCGUCGCUCCUACCGAUUGGGUGUGCUGGUGAAAUGUUCGGAUCGGGAAUAGGAGACGGCAACGUAUCCUGCUUCUGAGAAAAUCUUUAAACCCUCCCAUUUAGAGGAAGGAGAAGUCGUAACA